UUAUUUGUAAAAGCAAGUUAUCCCAAAAUACUCAGAAGAAGAUGGAAAUCAUUUCUAUUAUUGAGUUUUUCAGGCAUGUACCUGGUAUCCAUAAACAUAAAGCAAGAUUUUAGAGCUUGUUUUUAACUAUGCAAUUCUCUUUUAGCUGCUCAGAGAAACAUCUGACCAAGCAGGUCAUGUAUUUGUUCCCCUUCUCUCACUAUCAGGCCCUGAAGAUCCUCUGAACCAAGUCACCCAAGCAUGUUUCUUGAUACACUAAACCAUGUAUUAAGAUCCUCAGGCCUGCAGAAGGUCCAGGUUAUUAAGAAAUUAUAAAUUCUGUAUUGUGCUAUUUACAGAUUGUACCAUAUUGAUGCUACUUGUAGAAAUCAUGUGCCAUACUAAUCAUAAAUUCUGUGCUAUGCUAAUCAGAAUAUCCUGCUGAGAAAACCUUGAUUGUAACUAGAGUUUAGGGCUGUCCUUAUUCUGCCUAAAAGAACCCAUCUGUCCCCUUAGUGUCAAGUGUAACCGGUGUAAUUCAAAAGGAAAAAUCCCAGUAAUAUUUGCACUGACAGACUGUUGUCUUUGCACACCCCAGGCUGUGAGUUGGAGUUGGUACAACUGUUAUUUCAUCCUGCAGCUGGAGUUCAGACAGCUGGAAGCCAUCUAUUUGCAUUUCCAGUAAGAGAACUCCAGUUCCUGCCUCAAGGGAAGAAGAGGAGCUGGGAUUUCUCCUUUGAGAGAUGUGGAGCUCAUGUUUGAAGAAGAAAAAAGCCUGUGCUGCUUUUCCCCCCCUGCUCAGCAUAAGCAUGGAGAACAGAGAUGCUGCUGGUCUCUCUGGAGAACUUUGCCAGCCCUGCCUGCCCUGCAGAGGAGCCGGAGUCUGGAUGAUUUGAAUCUCUGCCAUCAUUUGGAGCAGAAUGAAGCUCUGUAAAAGGACAGUGACUGAAUGCCAACUGGGCUGUCAUUAGCUCGGGCAGCGCAGGAAGCAGCUGAUGUGCAGUUUGUGGUGGAAGUCAUGCAGACAGAAGGGGUGACUCAGGGGUGGAGAGGCCCCAGCCCUGGCUGCAGUCCGACCACAAAGGUGUAUCCCAGGCUUGCUCUUCGGAUGGACCAGGGACUCCUGCUGGCUUCACAAGACACAAAGGCCCCAAGGACCAUCCAUUUGCAGAAGGCUGUCCAUCUUGCAGUGAUGCUGGGUGCUGCUGGCCCAGCUCCAUCUUUCUUCCACAGUAAUAAAAGGAAAUGUGCCCUAA